GCCUAUAUGAAGUCGGAAUUGCUAGUAAUCGCGGAUCAGCAUGCCGCGGUGAAUACGUUCCCGGGCCUUGUACACACCGCCCGUCACACCAUGAGAGUCGAUAACACCCGAAGCCUGUAGUCUAACCAUAUGGGGGACGCAGUCGAAGGUGGGAUUGAUAAUUAGGGUGAAGUCGUAACAAGGUAAC
rnacentral:rRNA from 1 species